GGUGAACUAUGAGACAAAACAAAUUAUUUAGUUUUAGAACUUUCUGUUGUCUUGAACUCAAUGAAGACUACAUCUAUUUAUAUAAGCAUUUGAUAAAAUAUUAAUUUAGAACAACAAAAAAGUAUGAAAUUUACAUUUACCAGCUAAGAUAAAUAUCUGGGGAAAAUAAACCUUCAGGAAGCAAUAGCUAAACAGGUUACAUUUUUAUCAGUAAUUUGUCUAACAAUUUUUAGUAACAUACAAUAAUCAUACUUACAGUCCCAUAAGAAUCUUGAUAAACUAACUGGCUAAAGGUCUCUAAACCUGAGGAAAGUAAAAUUUAUUGCAUUAAUUUAUAAAUCAACAAAUUGAGAUGAUAAAAGUUAUAUUAUUCAAACAGACUCAAGUAAGGCAAAUAUAAUUAAAUAUAGUGUUAUACCUAUAUCCUCUAAAAUAGAUUGUUAUACCUAUACCCUCUACCAUCAUUUCUAAAUGAUGCCAAAUUAAAAAAAAUUUUUAAAGCCAAAACUCCAUUGCCCUUCUCUACUCAUCUAAUAAAAGUGCUUCACUUCAUUGUACUCAUACCCUGGGGUUCGUUUCAAUAAACACAAAAUAAUAGUAAUUUAAUAAAAUAUCAGUUUCUGAAUAAAUUUAUAGCAUUAUGAGAAAGAAUUUUUGUAAUCAAAUAUUACAGUCACUUUUAGAAGACACCUAAAUGUAACAGGGAAAAAUGGCUGGAAAAACCACCAUGAAACUAUAAAGGUCAAUUUACAAUAUACAGUUUUACUUAUAGCUGCAAAGACUACCUUCUGAACAUUUUUUACUCAAGUGGAUUCUUCCCUUAAUAUACUAGUUGACAGGCUCUAACUGGCCUUGACUUUAUUCAGAUUCCUCAUUCUAGCUGACAGUUAUAGAGCCAGAGAACUUUUAACCUAAGAAGAGUUCAGUCAUUUUUGCUGUGCCUUCCUCUCCCCAGCCACGUCAAGCUCAGGUUCAUGCUGGAAAGAAUAACUCUGAAAGUUUCUGUUAAGUGACUUUGCACUCAAUAAUGAUCAGUUUAGAGUACAAUACUCUGAAAGUCUGAGGGUAAACAGAAAAUAAGGACUUCUUGGAGUAGAAAUCUAGUCACUAUGUACUCACUAGAGUUUUGUUUUGCUUUUUGUUUUUUUUGAGACGAGUCUCACUUUAUCACCCAGGAUGGAGUACAGUGGUGUGAUCUCAGCUCACUGCAACGUCCGCCUCUCGGUUCAAGCACUUCUCCUGCCUCAGCCUCCCAAGUAGCUGGGACUACAAGCAUGUGCCACCACGCCUGGCUGAUAUUUUUAUUUUUAGUACAGACAGGGUUUCACUGUGUUGACCAGACUGGUCUCGAACCCCUGACUUUAAGUGAUCCACUCCCCUCAGCCUCCCAAAGUGUUGGGAUUACAGGCAUGAGUCACCACGCCCAGCCUUGCUAGAGUUCUUUAUUUUGGUAUGGAUCAGAACAAACAUCAAUAAGCGUCUCUUCUCCUUACCAGACACAGACAAGACAGGCAGAUCAGACCAAAAAAACUUAAAAUCACUAACAUUAUACAUAAAUAAAAUUACAUUUGUUGUUAAUAGAAUAUGAAAAUAUCUAGAAAUUUUGAAUAAAAUUAAAAUAUUCUUAUGGGUAUAAAAAUACAUAGCAUAACAAUCAUUAUUUUAGGUAACAAUCUGAGUCAAAUCCCAAACCUUUAUUUUGUUUUUUUGAGAAGGAGUCUCACUCUGUACCCCAGGCUGGAAUGAAGUGGUGCAAUCUCAGCUCACUACAACCGCCAUCUCCUGGAUUCAAGCUAUUCUCCUGCCUCACCCUUCCAAGUAGCUGGGAUUACAGGCAUGCACCACCAUGCCCAGCUAAUUUUUUUUUUUUGUAUUUUUAGUAGAGAUGGGGUUUCACCAUGUUGGCCAGUCUGGUCUUGAACUCCUGACCUCAAGUGAUCUGCCUGCCUCGACCUCCAAAGUGCUGGGAUUACAGGGGUCUUGCUCUAUUGCCCAGGCCAGAGUGCAGUGAUGUGAUCCAGGCUCACUACAGCCUCAAUGUUCGGGGCUCAAGCAAUCCUCCCACCUCAGCCUUCAGAGUACCGAAACUACAAGUCCACACCACUGUGCCCGGCUAAUUUUUGUAUUUUUUGUAGAGAGCAGAUGGCACCACAUUGCUCAGGCUGAUCUCAGACUCCCGAGCUCCGGCAAUCAUCACCCGGCUCAGCCUCUCUAAGGGCUGGGAUUACAGGCGUGAGCCACCGUGCCCGACCUCUCCAUGCUUUAAGUAGUACGUGUGCAAUGGAAAUCAUUUUGGAACGACAUAACGAAGCGUUCUGUAAAGGAUCCAAGGCAGCACAGUUCUGCUGUGCUUGAUUUCACAAAGCAACUGAAAAUUUCCCUUUACUGGAAAGUUAACAGUGAAACUGCAUGUUCACUUACCUCGUAAUGCUCCCCAAACUCUGUUGGCCUUCAGGACAGCCACUGGUUCUUUCACAAGUAAAGUAUCUGUAUUGGGGAUUUAAAAUCACACACAAACUUUUGUUAAUCCCUCCAUGACACACAGUAAGUUUCUGAAAACAUCAUUGAUAUUUCUGGACAAUUAUUUUCUCCCGAGCACAUGACCUACUUCUCUAACUGCCUCCUGUACAUCUCCAUUUGGAUGUCUUGUCUAUUCUUUCAACUCCACAUGCCCCGACGGAACUCUUCCCUCCCUCCUCCUCCACACACUUCAACCUGCUGGUCUCCCGUGUUCCUCAUUUCAGUGAGUCACAGCACCACCAUCCAGUCACCUGAGUCACUCAAGUCAGGAAUUUGGGUGUCAGCUCCAUGUUUCCUCAUUUUCCCCUCCAGGAGUUAGUCUCUCCAACUUCUCAACAGAGUAGAGUCCUAGUUAAGCUAAGGGUUUAGUUGAAAAAUGCAAACAUUCCUCAGUUUCUCCUAGUCCUUGGUGACACCCCGGAUAUCACUCAAAUUGAUUCCCCUUAAGGCCAGAAAAUUAUCACCACUCUUUUGCCUUCAGUUUUUCUAUCUGUCCUGUACCCACCUUCCCUCAGUAUCAUCCAAAUCUGCCUUAAGACUUACUCUCCAAAUCCCCUUAGCCUAGUUCAGCUUUGCCCCCCUCAAUAAGAAUAAUUCAGCUUUGUCCCACUCAAUUAAAAGUUCACACCAUCCCGAGUGGGGCUCCAGUUAGCCACUUCUGGUGAGAGGCUAAUCUUUCAACCUUUGAACACACUGCCUAAGCUUGGCCCAUUUAGUCAUUUAGAGCAGUCUAGAGUGGAGCCAACCACAGACAUAGUAAACCCACAGAGGGUACAGAGAUUUAAAACUGUAAAGGGUGCAACAGCUUUAAAGGGUGUGACAGCUGUGGACUUUGCCACAGCAAAGACACUGAAGGCCUGGAGGUUAAUGAUUUAAUACUGGGCUGGUUUAUCACCUUCCACCACCACCUUCAUCCAGAUGCUCACAGGAUAGUUAGCUGCAGGUAGGCAAAAGUGCUCUGUCAAUAGUGUGAGCAUCUCAGGUGACAGUCUUAUGACAAGAUAGCCUUUUCCAUUAGACGACCACAGUGAUGAGUUAGCCAACGCCAGGCUAAGAACUAUGUUGUUAUUUAUGAGCAUAGUCUAAUUAUGUUUCCUCUCCAUCUACAGCAAAUAGAUGUUGUUGAGACAAAGUCUCAAUCUGUUGCCCAGGCUGGAGUGGAGUGGCAUGAUCACAGUUCACUGCACCCUCGACCUGCCUCCCGGUGGGCCUAUAGAUGUGCCACCAUGCCUGGCUAAUUUUUCUUUUUUUCUUGUGGAGAUGGUGUUUUGUCAUGUUGCCCAGGCUGGUCUUGAGCUCCUGGGCUCAAGCCAUCUACCAGCCUCCGCCUCCCAAAGUGCUGGGAUUACAGGUGUCAGCCACCGCAUCCAGCCUAUAUCAAAUUCUGAAUCAGCUACUUAGAGCUCACUGCUCCACUGGUCAUCAUUUUAAAAGAUUUUUUGCCACAUUCUAGUUUUGAGAUCUCCCAGAAAUAGCAGUCACCUAAAACCCUUAAUAUAAUUGCAUAUACUUGAUACCAAUUAUUUUCUAAUAGCUGACAACUGGCUGAUAUUAAAAAGGACUGUAAGUUGACUCAGUGGAAAAUAUAUAUAACAAUUAGAGAUUUGAUUUUCCAAAUAUAUGGACACAUAGCUACAGAAUGUCCAUUUUUACUUCAAAAUCAAGUUAUUAGUGUUAACAAUGAUCACGUCCCUGAAGUGGGAAAGGAAUGACAUUGACUUUUCAGUAAGCCCCUCCUAUAUCUUUUUGCAACAUAAAUACAUUUGUUUUGGAGGGUGUAUAUACAAAUAACAUAGCAAUAUAUUAUCCUUUAAAAACAACAUAGAUAAGGCUAAAAUCUCCUUUGAGAUACCCACUCACCUCCCUCUAUCUUCCUCAGAGGAAGGAAGCACUUAUCGGGCGUUUUCUUAGGCUUGACAUAGAUGUAGUGGAAGGAGGAAAUACUGCUUUAUGCAUGUGUUCCUGCAUGGGUGUUGAUAUAUAAACGGGGUCCACCUCUACGUAUUAUUUAUACAGCUUUCUUUAACUCGGCAGUUUAUCUUGGCAGUUCUCCAUGUGUGUUCUCUGUAACACUGCUUCUUUAUUCUUAACUGUUGUGAUCAUACUGUUUAGUAUGGGUUGACAAGAUGUAUUUAGCCAUUCCUCUACUGAUGGACAUUGAGUUUUGUUGACAAUUCUUCACAUUACAGGCAAACUACUGAUUUAUGUGUCAAUUUAUAUGCAGUAAAAACUAGCCCACCUCUCCGGGCAUGCAUAUUUUUAUUUUUAAUAAAUAGUGGUGCUUUAA